GGUGUAUUGAUGGCAAUGACAUUCCUGUAAAUAUUUGAAGAUGAUGAGGUUGAAAGAGUAAAAAUGUCAUUUUCAAAAAUUAAAAAAUAAUAAAAAAUUAAUGACAUUUUCGUGAAUAAUCUGAACUUGUGAAAUGAAUAUGGCAGAGGAAAUGUCCAAAAAAAUAUUGAUUAGUUUUGGUUAGUUUUGUAGUUGACUUUGAGUUUUGAGUCAAUUUUGCAAAAAAUCAUUUAUAUUUCGUACUCAAAUUUUACGUAAGAUUUUGACAAAUUUCCCCCAUUAUAAUUAGUCAUGAUUAUUUAAAUAUAUCUCCACUUGUGACUAAUCAUUUUAAUUUUAUAUUUACGAUUAGUAAUUAUUUAAAUAAUUAAGUUUUAUGAAAAUUAUAUAGCAAUAAAUUUUUAUUGUUACCAAAUUUACUCAUUUUACAAGAUUUUUAUUUAAAUUUAGAUCCAUUCAUCAGAACUACAAGAAAAAUCAAUUGUUAAAUGAAUGCAUGUUUCAAAUAUUUGACCAAAAAUGAAUAGUUUGAGAAGUAUUUAUACCAUAAUUACAUCUAUAAUAUUUUAUUUAUACACCCUAGAUAGAUUUUAACUUUCUUAAAUAUAUUACUAUGUUAAUAAAAUUUUACUUAUUGUAUAAUGUUGAUAUUUAUCAUUUAUUUUUUGCUUAAGAUAUUUAAUAUUUUUUCUUAGAUUUACAUAUGUGGGCAACUAAAUUAUAAUGUAGUAACAUAUGUCACAUUGGUGUAUGACUACAUAAGCAUAUCAAAAUAUUGUUCUUUGGGUAAUAAUAUAUAAAUAGAUGUUAUACGUAAGCCACGAAUUAGUCGCAAUCAUAUUUUUUUUAUCAUUUCAAUCUUUGAAAGCUUUCAAAAAUGGAAGAAUGUCGUUUCGUGUUUGAUUAUGAUGAUGAUGUAGCCAGGAGGAAAGCUCUAGAUUAUAUAAAUAAUUCUAAAGGAGUUAAAUCCGUAACAUUAAAAGACAGCCUCCUUAUCGUGAGGGGAGACGGACUAGAUCAAGAUAAAAUGGAGAAGAAGUUGGAUAAGAUUUUUUCACCAAAAAAGGGAUGCGUAUGGUGUAUGGCGUUUUAGUCCCAAUCGAUGAUAUGUUGUUUAUUUAUAUUUUCAUGUUCUAUAAGUGUUUGGAUUUAUGCUUGAGUAUUGAUUAAAAUCUACUCGUAUAAUAUUACUAGAUGUUUUACCAGUAUAUGCGGCAUAAUUAUCGACAUAAUUAUCUUAGAAAUCGAUUAAAAUUAUCAAUAUAAAUGAUUUUUUCAUGCAUUCAAAAAAUUCAGAAUAAAUUAAAAAUAAAACUUUUUAUACAUGACAAAAAUUAUCAAAAAAUGUAAACUUCUUUUUAUUUCAUGAAAAACUUGGAAAUUCAGAAUUCUAUUUUAUUUCUUUAACUCUAUAAUACAUAUAGAGAUUUAAAAUUUUAAAAAUUUAAGAAACUAAAUGUAAUAAAACUAUCUAAUAUAU